rnacentral:rRNA from 1 species
GACGAACGCUGGAGGCGUGCUUAACACAUGCAAGUCGAACGAUGAAAUGGAGCUUGCUCCAUGGAUUAGUGGCGAACGGGUGAGUAACACGUGAAUAACCUGCCCUUAAUUUUGGAAUAACCCAGGGAAACCUGGGCUAAUACCGGAUAAGUAAACCUGUGGCAUCACAUGGUUUUGGAAAGUUUUUCGAUUAAGGAUGGAUUCGCGGCCUAUCAGCUUGUUGGUGAGGUAAUGGCUCACCAAGGCGACGACGGGUAGCCGGCCUGAGAGGGGGAAAGGCCACACGGGGACUGAGACACGGCCCAGACUCCUACGGGAGGCAGCAGUGGGGAAUAUUGCGCAAUGGACGAAAGUCUGACGCAGCGACGCCUCGUGAGGGACGAAGGUCUUCGGAUUGUAAACCUCUUUCAGCAGGGACGAAGCGAAAGUGACGGUACCUGCAGAAGAAGCACCGGCUAACUAUGUGCCAGCCGCCACAGUAA